UACGUAGGGUGCGAGCGUUGUUCGGAUUUACUGGGCGUAAAGGGCGCGUAGGCGGUCAGCACAAGUCAGUUGUGAAAUCUCCGGGCUUAACUCGGAAAGGUCAACUGAUACUGUGCGACUAGAGUGCGGAAGGGGCAACUGGAAUUCUCGGUGUAGCGGUGAAAUGCGUAGAUAUCGAGAGGAACACCUGCGGCGAAGGCGGGUUGCUGGGCCGACACUGACGCUGAUGCGCGAAAGCCAGGGGAGCGAACGGG
rnacentral:rRNA from 1 species